GCCUGGUGUGGUAGUGCGCACCUGUAAUCCCAGCAUCUCAGGAGGCUGAGGCAGAAGGAUUGCAAGUUCAAAGCCACCCUCAGCAAUUUAGUAAGGCCUUAUGCAAUUUAGUAAGACCCUGUCUCUA
rnacentral:sRNA from 1 species